UCCGGCUUAUCACCGGCAGUUUCCUUAAAGUGCCCGGCCUGACCCGCUGGUAACUAAGGAUAAGGGUUGCGCUCGUUGCGGGACUUAACCCAACAUCUCACGACACGAGCUGACGACAACCAUGCAACACCUGUGAUAGUCCGGCCGAACCGACCAGUUAGUUUCCUAACCGUACGACUAUCAUGUCAAGACCUGGUAAGGUUUUUCGCGUGACAUCGAAUUAAACCACAUGUUCCACCGCUUGUGCGAGUCCCCGUCAAUUCCUUUGAGUUUUAAUCUUGCGACCGUACUCCCCAGGCGGAGUGCUUAAUGCGUUAGCUACGACACCGAAACUAAUGUCCCAAUAUCUAGCACUCAUCGUUUACUGCGUGGACUAC
rnacentral:misc_RNA from 1 species